AUGCUUAUUGAAAUGAUUGAUUAUCGUAGUUUAUUGGUGGUGACAGAGUUUCCUAUCCUCAGUGCAGUGGGCAGCUGGGAGGAGGUGGUCUUAUUCUCCAUGGACUUUACAGUGUUUCCUAGCCUCAGUGCAGUGGGCAGCUGGGAGGAGGUGCUCUUAUUCUCCAUGGACUUUACAGUGUUUCCUAUCCUCAGUGUAGUGGACAGCUGGGAGGAGGUGCUCUUAUUCUCCAUGGACUUUACAGUGUUUCCUAGCCUCAGUGCAGUGGGCAGCUGGGAGGAGGUGCUCUUAUUCUCCAUGGACUUUACAGUGUUUCCUAGCCUCAGUGCAGUGGGCAGCUGGGAGGAGGUGCUCUUAUUCUCCAUGGACUUUACAGUGUUUCCUAUCCUCAGUGUAGUGGACAGCUGGGAGGAGGUGCUCUUAUUCUCCAUGGACUUUACAGUGUUUCCUAGCCUCAGUGCAGUGGGCAGCUGGGAGGAGGUGCUCUUAUUCUCCAUGGACUUUACAGUGUUUCCUAGCCUCAGUGUAGUGGACAGCUGGGAGGAGGUGCUCUUAUUCUCCAUGGACUUUACAGUGUUUCCUAGCCUCAGUGCAGUGGGCAGCUGGGAGGAGAUGUUCUUAUUCUCCAUGGACUUUACAGUGUUUCCUAGCCUCAGUGCAGUGGGCAGCUGGGAGGAGGUGCUCUUAUUCUCCAUGGACUUUACAGUGUUUCCUAGCCUCAGUGCAGUGGGCAGCUGGGAGGAGGUGCUCUUAUUCUCCAUGGACUUUACAGUGUUUCCUAGCCUCAGUGCAGUGGGCAGCUGGGAGGAGGUGCUCUUAUUCUCCAUGGACUUUACAGUGUUUCCUAGCCUCAGUGCAGUGGGCAGCUGGGAGGAGGUGCUCUUAUUCUCCAUGGACUUUACAGUGUUUCCUAGCCUCAGUGCAGUGGGCAGCUGGGAGGAGGUGCUCUUAUUCUCCAUGGACUUUACAGUGUUUCCUAGCCUCAGUGCAGUGGGCAGCUGGGAGGAGGUGCUCUUAUUCUCCAUGGACUUUACAGUGUUUCCUAGCCUCAGUGCAGUGGGCAGCUGGGAGGAGGUGCUCUUAUUCUCCAUGGACUUUACAGUGUUUCCUAUCCUCAGUGUAGUGGACAGCUGGGAGGAGGUGCUCUUAUUCUCCAUGGACUUUACAGUGUUUCCUAGCCUCAGUGCAGUGGGCAGCUGGGAGGAGGUGCUCUUAUUCUCCAUGGACUUUACAGUGUUUCCUAGCCUCAGUGCAGUGGGCAGCUGGGAGGAGGUGCUCUUAUUCUCCAUGGACUUUACAGUGUUUCCUAGCCUCAGUGCAGUGGGCAGCUGGGAGGAGGUGCUCUUAUUCUCCAUGGACUUUACAGUGUUUCCUAGCCUCAGUGCAGUGGGCAGCUGGGAGGAGGUGCUCUUAUUCUCCAUGGACUUUACAGUGUUUCCUAGCCUCAGUGCAGUGGGCAGCUGGGAGGAGGUGCUCUUAUUCUCCAUGGACUUUACAGUGUUUCCUAGCCUCAGUGCAGUGGGCAGCUGGGAGGAGGUGCUCUUAUUCUUCAUGGACUUUACAGUGUUUCCUAGCCUCAGUGCAGUGGGCAGCUGGGAGGAGGUGCUCUUAUUCUCCAUGGACUUUACAGUGUUUCCUAGCCUCAGUGCAGUGGGCAGCUGGGAGGAGGUGCUCUUAUUCUCCAUGGACUUUACAGUGUUUCCUAGCCUCAGUGCAGUGGGCAGCUGGGAGGAGGUGCUCUUAUUCUCCAUGGACUUUACAGUGUUUCCUAGCCUCAGUGCAGUGGGCAGCUGGGAGGAGGUGCUCUUAUUCUCCAUGGACUUUACAGUGUUUCCUAGCCUCAGUGCAGUGGGCAGCUGGGAGGAGUUGCUCUUAUUCUCCAUGGACUUUACAGUGUUUCCUAGCCUCAGAGCAGUGGGCAGCUGGGAGGAGGUGCUCUUAUUCUCCAUGGACUUUACAGGAAUAAGUGCUACAGGAUGCAAAUUUAUUUUUGAAAAAGCCUUAGCUUUCCUGACUGACUGUGUAAAUUGGCUCCUGACUUCCCUGAAAGUUUCUGUACGCCAUUAUCAUCGAUUUUGUUGCUGGUUAAGGGCAGUCAAGUCUGGGGUGAACAAAGGGUUACAUCUGUUGUUAGUUCUACAUUUUUUUUGAAUGGGUCAUGCUUACUUAAGAUUGUGAGGAAAGUUACUUUUAAAGAGCAACCAGGCAUCCUCUACUGAAGGGAUGAGGUCAAUAUCCUUCCAGCAUACCCAGGCCAAGUCGAUUAGAAAGGCCUGCUCACUGAAGUGUUUUAGGGAGUGUUUGACAGUGAUGAGGGGUGGUCGUUUGACCAGGGACCCAUUUCGUACACAGGCAAUGAGGAAGUGAUUGCUGAGAUCCUAGUUGAAGACAGCAGAUGUGUAUGUAGAGGGCAAGUUGGUCAGGAGGAUAUCUUUGAGGGUUCCCAUGUUUACGGAUUUAGGAUUGUUCCUGGUAGGUUCCUUGAUCAUUUGUGUGAGAUUGAGGGCAUCUAGCUUAGAUUGUAGGAUGGCUGGGGGUUAAGCUUAUCCCAGUUUAGGUCACCUAACAGUACGAACUCUGAAGAUGGAUGGGGGGCAAUCAAUUCACAUAUGGUGUCCAGGGCACAGCUGGGGGCUGAGGGGGUUUUAUAACAAGCAACAACGGUGAGAGACUAAUUUCUGGAAAUGUGGAUUUAUUUGUUUGUUUAGGCACAGACCUGGAUAGUAUGACAUAACUUUGCAGGCUAUCUCUGCAGUAGAUUGCAACUCCUCCCCCUUUGGCAGUUCUAUCUUGACGGAAAAUGUUGUAGUUGGUGAUGGAAAUUGCGGAAUUUUUGGUGGCCUUCCUAAGCCGGAAUUCAGACACGGCUAGGACAUCAGGGUUGGCGGAGUGUGCUAAAGCAGUGAAUAAAACAAACUUAUACUGAAUAUAUUUUUAAAAAUAGGAUAAGGAUAUUUACACGGGACGGGACAAGACUAAACGUCCGACUGCUACGCCAUCUUGGACUUGUAGCUGUAAUUGCUGCCAAAGGUGGCUCUGACUUUGGGGGGGGUGAAUAGUUAUGCACGCUCAAGUCUUCUGUUUUUUUUGUCUUAUUUCUUGUUUGUUUCACACACAAUUUUUUUUGGGGGGGGGGAUCUUCAAAGUGGUGGGCAUGUUGUGUAAAUCAAAUGAUACAAUCUCCCCAAAGAUCCAUUUUAAUUCCAGAUUGUAAGGCAACAAAAUAGGAAAAAUUCCAAGGGGAGUGAAUACUUUUGCAAGCCACUAUAUGUAAAUGUGAUAUUUCCAUUUUUUAUUUGGAAAUUAGCAACAUUUCUAAACUUGUUUUGGCUUUGUCAUUAUGGUUAUUGUGUGUAGAUUGAUGAGGGGGGGAAAACUAUUUAAUAUAUUUUAAGGCUGUAACCAAAUGUGGCAAAAGGGGUCUGAAUACUUUCUGAAGGUGCUGUGUGCACAUCUGGCACAAAAGUGUUUCGUUAUGGGAGAAAUACGGGACGUGUGGAGGGCCGUUACAAGGCUGGACACUUCGUUAUGGGAGAAAUACGGGACGUGUGGAGGGCCGUUACAAGGCUGGACACUUCGUUAUGGGAGAAAUACGGGAUGUGUGGAGGGCCGUUACAAGGCUGGACACUUCGUUAUGGGAGAAAUACGGGACGUGUGGAGGGCCGUUACAAGGCUGGACACUUCCAGAAACUGUUUUCGGACUUGUGCACGGGAAUGUUCCAACCGUAAGUGUGCCUUUCCAUGCAGAGAUGAACUACAAAAUGCAUUUAUAUGACAUAAUAUUACUAUAUUUCAGGGUCUGAACUACAAAGAAGAUUGGAAGCUGGUGACAGUCCUUAUUGGAAUGAAUGACAUCUGUGAUUAUUGUAAAAACAAAACUCUCUUCUCAGCGGACAACUUCAUCUACUACAUGACAGAGAUGCUUGACACAAUGAUGAAUGAGGUAUGACAGAUGCUUGACACGAUGAUGAACGAGGUAUGACAGAUGCUUGACACGAUGAUGAACGAGGUAUGACAGAUGCUUGACAUGAUGAUGAACGAGGUAUGACAGAUGCUUGAUACGAUGAUGAACGAGGUAUGACCGAUGCUUGACACGAUGAGGAAUGAGGUGUGACAGAUGCUUGACACGAUGAUGAACGAGAUAUGACCGAUGCUUGACACGAUGAGGAACGAGGUAUGACAGAUGCUUGACACGAUGAUGAACGAGGUAUGACAGAUGCUUGACACGAUGAUGAACGAGGUAUGACAGCUGCAUGACACGAUGAUGAACGAGGUAUGACCGAUGCGUGACACGAUGAUGAACGUGAUAUGACAAAUGCUUGACACAAUGAUGAACGAAGUAUGACAGAUGCUUGAUACGAUGAUGAACGAGGUAUGACCGAUGCUUGACACGAUGAUAAACGUGAUAUGACAGAUGCUUGACAUGAUGAUGAACGAUGUAUAACAUAUGACAUUAUAAAAUCCAUGUACACAAACAACAAGUGUGCGGUUAAAAUUGGCAAAAAACACACACAAUUCUUCACACAGGGUCGUGGGGUUAGACAGGGAUGCAGCUUAAGCCCCACCCUCUUCAACAUAUAUAUCAACGAACUGGCGCGGGCACUAGAAAAGUCUGCAGCACCCGGCCUCCCCCUGCUAGAAUCCGAAGUCAAAUGUCUGCUGUUUGCUGAUGAUCUGGUGCUUCUGUCACCAACCAAGGAGGGCCUACAGCAGCACCUAGAUCUUAUGCACAGAUUCUGUCAGACCUGGGCCCUGACAGUAAAUCUCAGUAAGACCAAAAUAAUGGUGUUC